GACGAACGCUGGCGGCGUGCUUAACACAUGCAAGUCGAACGAUGAACCCGGAGCUUGCUCCGGUGGAUUAGUGGCGAACGGGUGAGUAACACGUGAGUAACCUGCCCUUGACUCUGGGAUAACUGCGGGAAACUGUAGCUAAUACCGGAUACGACCCUCGGCGGCAUCGCCAGGGGGUGGAAAGAAUUUCGGUCAAGGAUGGACUCGCGGCCUAUCAGCUAGUUGGUGGGGUAACGGCUCACCAAGGCGACGACGGGUAGCCGGCCUGAGAGGGUGACCGGCCACACUGGGACUGAGACACGGCCCAGACUCCUACGGGAGGCAGCAGUGGGGAAUAUUGCACAAUGGGCGCAAGCCUGAUGCAGCAACGCCGCGUGAGGGAUGACGGCCUUCGGGUUGUAAACCACUUUUAUCAGGGAAGAAUCUUCGGAUGACCGUACCUGAUGAAUAAGAGGGUGCUAACUCUGUGCCAGCAGCCGCGGUAA
rnacentral:rRNA from 1 species